rnacentral:rRNA from 1 species
GUGAGGAAUAUUGCGCAAUGGAGGCAACUCUGACGCAGCCAUGCCGCGUGCAGGAAGAAGGCGCUACGCGUUGUAAACUGCUUUUAACCGGGAAGAAACCCCAGGACGUGUCCUGGGUUGACGGUACCGGAGGAAUAAGCACCGGCUAACUUCGUGCCAGCAGCCGCGGUAAUACGAAGGGUGCAAGCGUUAUCCGGAUUCAUUGGGUUUAAAGGGUGCGUAGGCGGAGCGUUAAGUCAGUGGUGAAAUCCUGCAGCUUAACUGUAGACUUGCCAUUGAUACUGUCGCUCUUGAGUGCGCUUGAAGUGGGCGGAAUGUGCCGUGUAGCGGUGAAAUGCUUAGAUAUGUCAUGGAACACCGAAAGCGAAGGCAGCUAACGAUACUUAUAUUGACGCUCAUGGACGAAAGCGUGGGUAGCGAACAGGAUUAGAAACCCCUGUAGUCC